GACAGAGACUGCAAGCGUUAUUCGGAUUCACUGGGCGUAAAGGGUGCGCAGGCGGUUGGGCGUGUCAGAUGUGAAAUCCCGAGGCUUAACCUCGGAACUGCGUCUGAAACUACUCGACUAGAGUACUGGAGAGGGAAACGGAAUUCACGGUGUAGCAGUGAAAUGCGUAGAUAUCGUGAGGAACACCAGAGGCGAAGGCGGUUUCCUGGACAGUUACUGACGCUCAGGCACGAAAGCAUGGGGAGCAAAAGGG
rnacentral:rRNA from 1 species